UUUAGCUGUUUGGUUAGGUAACGCCUCACGGGGGGUCUGUGGGUUCUAUCUGAGGAGUUUGACCGGCCCAACUGGGGAUUAAGACCGGCCAAGAAUUCGAACGGGGGGGCGGCGGUGGGCAUCCUCCCCUCAAUGGACGAAAGUUUAACGGAACCACCGCCCGGGUAGUGAAGGAAGUUUUACGGACCGGAAGGUCUGGUUGGGGGGGAAAAAAAAGUGCAAAAUUACUUGCUUCCACCUUGGCCGUUACCUAACAAGAAGCCCCGGCUAACUCCUUGCCACCGGCCGGCGGUAAUUAGUUGGUUGGAAGCUUUUGUCCGAAAUUUAUUGGGGCGUGAGGGCUCGGAGGCUGUUUUCUUAAGGUUUGAAUGUGAAACCCCCCGGUUCAACCGGGGAGGUUGUUGGAAACUGGGAAACUUGGAGUGCAGAAGAGGAGAGUGGUAUUCCACGUGUAGCGUUGAAAUGCGUAGAGAUUUGGAGAAACACCAGGUGGCGAAGCCUACUCUUUGUCUAGUAACUGACGCUGAGGAGCGAAAGCGUGGGAGCAACAGGAUUACAUACCCUGGUAGUCCACGCAGUAAACCAUGAGUACUAAGUGUUAGGUGUUUUCCGCCUCAUUAGUGCCUGCAGCUCACGCAAGUAGCCCUCAGCUUGGGAGUACGUCGCAUGACUGAACUGAAGGAUUGACGGGGGGGCGCACAAGCGGUGGAGCAUGUGGUUUAAUUUCGAAGCAACGCGAAGGAACCUUACCAGGUCUUGACAUCCUCUGAGAACCCUAGAGAUAAGGCCUUUUCCUUCGCGGACAGAGUGACAGAUGGUGCAUGGUUGUCGUCAGCUCGUGUCGUGAGAUGUUGGGUUAAGUCCCGCAACGAGCGCAACCCUCGAUCUUAGUUGCCAGCAUUCAGUUGGGCACUCUAAGGUGACUGCCCGGUGACAAACCGGAGGAAGGUGGGGAUGACGUCAAAUCAUCAUGCCCCUUAUGACCUGGGCUACACACGUGCUACAAUGGACAGAACAAAGGGCUGCGAGACCGCAAGGUUUAGCCAAUCCCACAAAUCUGUUCUCAGUUCGGAUCGCAGUCUGCAACUCGACUGCGUGAAGCUGGAAUCGCUAGUAAUCGCGGAUCAGCAUGCCGCGGUGAAUACGUUCCCGGGCCUUGUACACACCGCCCGUCACACCACGAGAGUUUGCAACACCC
rnacentral:rRNA from 1 species